AUGUGUGUGUGUGAACACGGGUGUGCGCAUAUCAGUGUGUGUGGAUGUGUACGUGUGAGUGGGUGUGCGCGUAUCAGUGUGUGUGUGGAUGUGUGUGUGUGAACACGGGUGUGCACGUAUCCGUGUGUGUGUGUGGAUGAACAUGGGAGCUCAAUGCAGGUUCUGCUUCCCCCCCAUCAGAGCUGCCCUGGCAUCUGGCUUUGACCUUAGGAUGGGGCGUGACCUUGGGAGGCCGUGAGCGCUCCCCUCGCGCUGUGGAAGCCCUGGGGACUCAGGGCUGCGUGAGAGGAGCCAUGCCACAGCCAGCGACAGCUCCUGAUGUGUGAGCAAGGCCAGGUGAGACCUCCGCCCAGCCGAGCAGCUGAUGAAGCCACAGAGGUGACCCGGGGAGCUCAGCAGAGGGACCUGGACAGCAACUCCCUGCACCUGAGACUUGCAGACCCUCGGCAAGCGCAGGUGUUCACUGCCUCGUAGCAGAGGUGACAUGCAGACGCUGGACCUCAGCGCACUCACCUGCCAGAGAGGAGACGUGAACAGCGGUGGACAUGAGGAAAGGCCAGAGGCAGCAGCCAGCCCAUCUCAGGCACGUCACUGUGGAAGCAACAGCCGGAGGAGCCACAGAAAGCAGAACUCCCAAAGCCACCCACGUACGUCAGGUCUUAGCUCGGAUCUCCUGGAGACAGGCCCUGCAAAGGAGCUGGGUUGGGACCAGGUUUAUCGGGGCGUGAUCUUAGGAGGCAGCCAUAGGAGGUGAGGAAGGCAGGGUGUGCAGAGUGCAGCUGACCCAACCGGCCGGGCUGACCCAUGGGACGCCCUGGGCUGAGACGCUGUCAGCACUGCCCCAGUCUGAGACCACCUUGGGAGGGGUGUAACCUUGUGCAGGGCGGCUCUCCGCAGCGGAGGGCAGCCCCAGGGGAGGACACGGCUGGGGACACCAGCAGCAACGUCCCAGCGCACCCAGGAGUAGGGAGGGUCGGGGGGCCAUCCAGUGCCCACGACACUCAUGGACACAAAAGCCAACCAGAGAAAACCGAGUCUCCAGCAAAGAGCCGAGCGCUGAGUGUGGAGUGUUCACCUGUCUGUCCCGUUGCCCAUCUCUAUCCCAGGCAGGCCCUCCCCGGUCUUGCCACCACACUGGACCACCGUGUGGACCCUGUGCUCACCCAGGCCUCACCUUUCAGCCCCCUAAGCUGGGCCCAAAGCAGCAGACUGUGUUGUGCAGAUGCUGUGGCUCACGGCCCCCACUCCCUGCUAGGCAGAGGUGCCAGGUAAGACAGGAUAACCAAUAAAAUUAGAACGUCAGAGAAACA